rnacentral:lncRNA from 1 species
GCAAGGCGGAGGACCAGAGGUGAUCCCAGGACUGUGGGCCCCGGGCCCUGACGCCUCGGAGCACACCCUGUCCUGAGCCAGCCCGAUAUAUUGGAAGCUCGGGAGCUCGCGAGCUGGGGGAAGGCCUGGAAUGUGAGUGAAAGAGAGGCCGCCUGAUGGGCCUUGAGCCUGGGCAGGGGACUGAGGCAUUACGGCCUGACGACGGAUUCCUGUUUCCUGCAACAUGGGGAGUCUCCAAAAUGGCCUGUUUGGAAACGAAAGGAGAGCGAAGACACGAUGCUGCUUUUCCAAGCUUCACUGGAGGUUUCUGUGUCCCCACAGAGCUCGGGAAACAAACAGUCAACAUGGUAACGCUUUCGGGGUCCAGAGACACGUGAGCAACAGGCCCCCUUGCAGAAGGCAAAGGAACGUGGAAUCCGGAAUCAUGGUUCACUCGGCUUGAGUGUGACUCCUGUGUGGAUGGGAGUAUCUGCCUCGCGCUCUGUUGUAGGCUCAGCGUGGGGAGGCUCACAUGUCAUCUGUGAACCAUGUGGAUGAAAAACGGACAACAAUUCGAGUCUCGGCUCUGCUCUUUGGGGAAUUCGCUCAUUCCUUGGGAGGCGGAAUUCGUCUGAAUCGCUCCCGGGUGAAGUAACCCAGGCUGGAGAUCCCGAGGGCGGGUGAGCACACCGCCGGCCGACGCGGCUGUGGGCAGAGCACUCAGCCUGCACUGGGCACCCAACAUUUUCCCGGAGUGGGAGAUCCUGCUGGUCCUGGAGGCAGAAGACUGCUUUUCUCUCUGCCUUCCUCUCUCUGUUUCUUGCUCCCUCCCACCCUCUUUCCCUCCGUCCCUCCCUCAGUUCCUCCCUUCCUCCCUCCCUCCCUCCUUCCCUCUCUCCCUCCUUCUAUCCCUCCAUCCUUUCCAAGGUCCCACGGUCCAUCCGUUAUUUUCUCCCUCCAUCGCUCCCUCCCUCUCUGUCUCCGUUCCUCUCCCCAUCUCUGCCUGAGUUCCCUCCUGCGUAGAAAGGGCAGUACUCCGGCUUGCACGGGGUCUCGGGUCUGCAUUUAGCUGUCAGGCGCUCCACGGCGAUGCCGAGGAAGCUGGCGUGGCAAGAGUAGGCGAGUGACGGUGGGGCGGGGAGGCAGAGGGGGCGAGACGCAGAAAGAAGAGCAGGCCUGGCGUCUGCCCGGGCCAGUGUUUCCCGGGAUGUAGGUCUCCGCCCGCCCCAAAGAAGAACGCGGCAGGGGGCAAGAGGGAAGGGAUGAGAACUCCUCCUAGACUAGUUAGAAAACCUAGGCUACUGCCUGCUAACCCGCGCAUGAGCAGUAGACAGUCCGCCUCCCAGUACCUGGACCGGCCCUGGGAUCCCCGGGAUGCUCAGGAAAGAAUGAUACCCCUCCUCUGAGUGGAGUCUCUCACGGGACCUGGAACUCAGGGAUCCUAGGCAGAUCAGCUGGAAGGGAAGACACGCCUCUCCAUACCGAGUCAGAGGUUCACCGCGAAAGAGAGGCCGCCGCCCUGCCCCCACCCCGCCCCAACCCCGUGUCCUAAAGCUCCUCCAGCAGAGCCCGGUGUUCUUCCUGGCUGAGGAGUGGUUCCAACGGAGCGGGCUCUUCCACCUCCUUCAGCUUCCCCAGUGGCGCCGGAUCUAGGAAAGAUUGUGCCUUUUUCUGAAACUCUGGGGUUGGCAGGAGCUCAUCUAACAGUCUGGGGGUGUGUGUAG